rnacentral:rRNA from 1 species
UACGUAGGGUGCGAGCGUUAAUCGGAAUUACUGGGCGUAAAGGGCGCGUAGGCGGCCUUCUAAGUCGAACGUGAAAUCCCCGGGCUCAACCCGGGAACUGCGUCCGAUACUGGAAGGCUUGAAUCCGGGAGAGGGAUGCGGAAUUCCAGGUGUAGCGGUGAAAUGCGUAGAUAUCUGGAGGAACACCGGUGGCGAAGGCGGCAUCCUGGACCGGUAUUGACGCUGAGGCGCGAAAGCGUGGGGAGCAAACAGG